rnacentral:rRNA from 1 species
CAAACUGAAGAUGGCGACCGGCGCACGGGUGAGUAACACGUAUCCAACCUGCCGAUAACUCCGGAAUAGCCUUUCGAAAGAAAGAUUAAUACCGGAUGGCAUACGAAUAUCGCAUGAUAUUUUUAUUAAAGAAUUUCGGUUAUCGAUGGGGAUGCGUUCCAUUAGUUUGUUGGCGGGGUAACGGCCCACCAAGACUACGAUGGAUAGGGGUUCUGAGAGGAGGGUCCCCCACAUUGGAACUGAGACACGGUCCAAACUCCUACGGGAGGCAGCAUG